rnacentral:rRNA from 1 species
GGCGGACGGGUGAGUAACGCGUAAAAACCUGCCCUUGGGAGGGGAACAACAGCUGGAAACGGCUGCUAAUACCCCAUAGGCUGAGGAGCAAAAGGAGGAAUCCGCCCAAGGAGGGGCUCGCGUCUGAUUAGUUAGUUGGUGAGGCAAUGGCUUACCAAGGCGACGAUCAGUAGCUGGUCCGAGAGGAUGAUCAGCCACACUGGGACUGAGACACGGCCCAGACUCCUACGGGAGGCAGCAGUGGGGAAUUUUCCGCAAUGGGCGAAAGCCUGACGGAGCAAUGCCGCGUGAAGGCAGAAGGCCCACGGGUCAUGAACUUCUUUUCUCGGAGAAGAAAAAAUGACGGUAUCUGAGGAAUAAGCAUCGGCUAACUCUGUGCCAGCAGCCGCGGUAAGACAGAGGAUGCAAGCGUUAUCCGGAAUGAUUGGGCGUAAAGCGUCUGU